rnacentral:rRNA from 1 species
GACGAACGCUGGCGGCGUGCUUAACACAUGCAAGUCGAACGGAAAGGCCCUGCUUUUGUGGGGUGCUCGAGUGGCGAACGGGUGAGUAACACGUGAGUAACCUGCCCUUGACUUUGGGAUAACUUCAGGAAACUGGGGCUAAUACCGGAUAGGAGCUCCUGCUGCAUGUGGGGGGUUGGAAAGUUUCGGCGGUUGGGGAUGGACUCGCGGCUUAUCAGCUUGUUGGUGGGGUAGUGGCUUACCAAGGCUUUGACGGGUAGCCCGCCUGGGAGGGUGACCGGCCACCAUGGGACUGCGAUACGGACCAGAAUGCUACGGGAGGCAAGAGUGGGGAAUCUUGCACAAUGGGCGGAAGCCUGAUGCAGAAACGCCGCGUGCGGGAUGACGGGCUUCGGGUUGUAAACCGCUUUCGCCUGUGACGAAGGGGGAGUGACGGUAAUGGGUAAAGAAGCAACGGCUAACUACGUG